UACGGACAUAGCCAGAUUGACUCGGCUAUUGAUCCUGAUCAAGAAUAUAUCUACUUUAUAGUGUGGGAAACGCUGCCCUUUACGUGUUACAUACUUUUCAACGAAUCUAGUAUACCCUUUUAUUUAACGAGUAAAUAUUUCUGAUUAACGGCAAACCAUACUUUCAUACUAAUGUGCCAUAAACAGAUUGCCCCAUUGCAAUAAACAUAUUUUAGAUUACAUUUAAUUUAUGUUUUGCAAACUUAUGUUUUGCAGACGAAACCAAAUUAAUUCUCGUAAAAUGUGUUCCCAUUUGGCCAAUGCAAUGGCACCAAAAGAGGCAAUUUGCAAGCCAUUCAAUUCGAGUUCCACAUUCGAGUGAGGUAAAAUUUAGGUUGCAUAAAACUGCGUGUUCUUCUAAAGGGUUUUUAAAUGCCAGAUUAAAGAAGUCGAAAUUAGUUGGCCGCCUUAAAUAUGCCAGUUCGGCAUGAUUUUAUGUUUGAUUUAGUGAGAAGUCUUUUGGGAAAUACCACAUAUCCGGCACAGUGUGGCCCCAACUGGGCCACUCAGAAGUGCUCAAAUUUGCAAAUUGAAUGGACCCACUUUGGAGCGGCUUUAACCCCAUUGCAAGGGCCAUUAUUGAAAACCCACAGACACACGGUGGUGGAGAAAGUCGAGCAGAAUGGAACGCGGAUUGGAUUGUGGAGGGGUCCAGUCCGGGUCGGGGGGUGUCCGUCCAUAAAUAACGGCAAAACAGUCAGAUAAAUUUGCAGGAGCUAUAAACAAGCUACUCCGGCGGACUCCCCAAUGCCGCCGCUCCCGUCGAAAUCGAUUUAAAUGCUCCGUUUGCGUGUUCUGUGUUCUCUGUUCUGAGUCCGUCGGUUACCUUGAAGCCUUUAUGUAAUUUCCACACAGAAAUAAAUAGGAUGGAACAUUAAACUGAAAUGUCUCGCACUCGAUUUGAUCGAACGCAAAGAUGUAUGGAAUUCUUUGAUUACAAGCAGCAGGCGGAGACAACCUAUCAUUAUUGUGAAGUAUUACUCUCUAGACGGCAGUAAAGGAGAUAUUUCUUUAAGUGCACUGCAGACCCUCGGUCGCAUUGUGUCCCGGUUAGACCCGCCACCAUUCAGCGAAUUUCCAUGCUAAAUAGCCAGACACGUGGCAUCUGCCGCUCUCGACAUCCUCGCUCGCUUUCACCGCGUGCACCAUUUUGAUUGGCGUUUGAUAAGCGGCAAGGACGGGCCGGAGUCCUGCGCUCCUAGUCCUGGACAGCGGAAAGGAGGAGCUGUAGAUAAGGACGCAACCACGACGGUUUCGAUUGUUUCGCCAGCUCAACGCCAACUAGGAUGCGGAGUGUUCCGUGUGGGAUGCACUGCUUUCGAGCAAACAGAUUUUACGGGCACUAAAGCACGGGACAAACGCACGCAAGGAUAAUUACGGACUCACAGAGAACAAAUAAGGAUCGAUUGUGAAUAGCUCUAUGACAAACGAGGGGAAUGUUUAUUUUCAAAUAUUUGCCGUUUUAAUUUUUUGUUUUCGUUUGAUGUUUAAACAAAUACAAAACAAAUUGAUUGCAUAGCUUCACUGCUACGAAUUGCUAUAAUUUAGAGAUUUAGUUAAGCAGUUGAAAUAUGUUUAGCAAACGUGAGACACCCAAAUUUUCCAUCUUUAAGGGCUCUGUGAAAACCAAUUUCCAGAACGAAAACGUGUCCUACCCAGCCACUUGUGCACAUUUGGGGUAAGCAUAAUAAAACUGCAAUCUAUUCAAUUUAUUAACAUAAACAAAAUAGAAAGUCCAGAGCGUUAGUUAAGUUAGCGUAAAAACAAGAGUGGUGCACAAACACAUUAAAUAUUUUUUUAGAGACUAACACUUCUUGACAAUAGUUUUCCCUAAUAAGAAGGUGACCAAAUAAGGCUCAACUUCCCGUUGGCACAGAUUCCGGACUCCCCGAACAUGCUUAUCGAAUCUUCCAACCAGCACACCCCUGCUACCAUCUUGACCAGCGGUGUAUGUGCUCACCCGUGUGCCGAGUGGAAAGUUCACUGCAUACGAGUGUACAUAGAGACGUGGGUUCGUGUAUGCCCCCAAGGAGUAUAGUUGCAGUUGUUUGCCUAAUACAUUGUUGCAAAGCAAAUCAACACAAAUUUUCGAAGGAUACGUGUACGGACUUUGUUGCCUGCCCGAUGUCUUUCGCCCGUGUCAGUGGAGCAUGCAACUUGCGUGGCACACCCACCGCCCAUUUGCGCCCACAUUUCCACCUACAACUAAGGUAAGCCAGCACCACCCAGCACCACCCAGCACCACCUAGCCACCCAACAACAACCGCCCACAAAGACGGGCUGACAUGCAAACACAUAAACGCCAUUUCGCCUCCAGUUGCCACCUAAAUGGCAAUGACAUCGCCCCAGAAGACGAGCAGGAUGGCAAAAUGUUUCACUUUUGAGUCAAUUUUUCCAUCCGUGUGUGCCCAGCUAGCUUUAAUAUGUUGCCUACCAAUUUGCGGACCUCCGCCGAUGUCGAUGGCCAGUCAAACGGAUCCGGACCAGAAACGUCAGCGCAAAGUUGUCAGCUUUUUUUAGGGGCACUAAAAACUGGUAUACUGCCAGCUUAGCGACGAGUAGAUGGAAAAAUUUCAACAUUUUGAACUAAAAUUGUUUUUAGAUACUCGUCUUACAUUGCGAAAAUAAAAUGUCGAUGUGAAAUCAAUUCGAAGCGAAGACAAUUAAUUCGAAUUUUAUUAGUUCACAAUAUGAACUAUUACUAUUUUUGAUUAGGUUUAAAGAAAUCGUAUAAUUUUAGAAAAUCAUAGUACCUUGAACUCAUAGAAUCCAUUGAUCCUACAAAAUAUUUAAUUUCGAGAGUAAGUCAUUAAAGCUCUCUAAAAUCAAUUUAACGUGAGAAUGCAAAGCAAUAUUUUUUAUUUGUGUAGCUGGCAGAGUAAUGGGAUAUAAAAAUAAAUAGAAAACGAUCAAAUAAAAUGUGUCCCUGCCAAAAAAUCGAGACGACGGAAAAAGGACAAUGCGCUCCGAGUGUGACAGCCACACUUUUCCAGGCCAGUUAGUGAGUCAGUCCGAAUCGGUCGGAAUUAGCUGUCCCCUUUCCGAACUAAACGAACUGAGCGAGCUGGAUUCACAUUUGACACGUACACACAUAUGUGACAGCCCGCAAACUCGUCCUGGCUUAGGGCACAUUAGGUUUGGGCCAGGUUUGACAGCCGAAAUGGGCCAAAAAGUGGGGACAGCGGGCUUAAUGAAUUAUGUGCGAACCGAAAGUUUCUCCAACUGGCCCACAAAUCAAAUGAUUUCAGCAUAAAUUUGUGUAAUUCGCACCUGUGUGGCCUUUCCUUCGAGUCUUCCUAAGGGUUGAACUUUUCCAGGAAGAAAAUCUGGCCCAACGUUACUUGGAAAUCAAGUAAAAUUGGGAGCCCUCGGUCGUUCUCAGAAUGUAUCGUUAUUCAUUUGCCUAGUUAGUGAAUCGUUUAAUUCUGGUUUAAAGCUACGCAUUUUUUCUGCAUUUAUUGAACCGAAAACUAGAAAUGGCAAUAUUGUGAACUAAAAUAUUUACUAGAGGCUGUGUGCAAAUAUUAGAUGUCACGGUUGGCCAAACUGAAAAGAUAUUCAAACCGAUUUUGUAUUUUGCUUAGCACGUACAAAUAAAUAAGAAGUAAGUUCAGCGGAAAAAUUCAACAAGGUGUGUUUCAAUAUAAUAACAAGAUAGAAAGUGGCAUUUAAAUGAAUAUUAAAGAAAUUAUGUUGAAUACAUUUAAAGUUGAAAAAGUUUCCUUUUUAUUUUUAAAUACCAUUUUUUGUUCGCAGAUUUUAGCUCAAAUGUGGUAAAUGUAAACGAAUUAAGGCAACCAAUUUCCACUAAAUUGGCUAGAUUGUGUAUGCGUUUAAACUUUUGGCUAGAAAGUUACUCCUAGCAGGCGACCAAGAAGUCUGUAGGGCAAUUUUAAUGAGGUCCUCUUUGCCAUAACACAGUCACCGACUUUUUACACAUCGAUUAUUGAUCCGUGCCAGUUUGGCGCGCAGUCCUUUUGCAACUUCUUACGUCAUUUGGGAAAUACUCGGCAACUGGUUCGCACUGGUUGGCUGGGGGCCACGUUUCCCUUCCCCAUGAUUGCCCCGCCAUCCCCAGGAUGUGUCAUCAUUAGGGCUCGUCGUCGUGCAUUCCCCUCAUUUUCCCAUUUACCCAUUUACCCGCAGUCGGCCAUUCUCAGUCCCUUUCACCUUUUUGGCCAGGCCAAUACACAAAUCGAUCGCUGUGGUUUCUUUCAUUAAGUAUAUUUCGCGCGUUGCCUCUCGCCUGCCGUUAUUAUUGUAAUAAAAAUUUACGUAAAUCGUGCCUCGAACAUUGCCCCAAAGCCCCCAACGAUUCAGUCGACACAUUUGCUCACGCACUGUCGUGUUGUGUAUCGUGCUCGUCCUUCGGCAAAAAGUUUCCUUUGUUUGCCAAUUUUUAUGAGCAGGCCACGCUUCCGGCAAAUACCCACCGACCACCACCCACCACCCACCGACCCACAUCAACCACCCCUCCAGGUGGUGCGGUCAAGCUCCUAGCCAUACGUAGCCACCUAGUUCUUCUUCGUUCGGUUCUUCGUUCUUCUGGCCAACGACACCUGCAGACUAAUUAAUGGCAAAUUCCAGGCACCUCACUUUGAUGUACAUAUAUGUACAUAUGACCGACGCACACCUUGUUCAGAGUAUGCGAAUACACUGGGAGAAAGCAUGGCUACCCAGAAGCCCCUGCCCCUUCGGAUCUCAAUGUUUUUGCUUACGAAGAUCUUUUAUUAUUGCCAAGAUGUGUAUUCAAUGGCAGAAGUAAUUUGAAAUGAUUUAAAAUAUAAUUAAGCAUUUAAGUAUAUCAUGUUUAGUUCUGCUUCUAAUCUCCUUCUCGCUUCUUCUAAAGCCUCGAAAGGCACUUGAUUUUCUCGCAGUGCACGCAUAGAGCUUCCUGAAAUCCCGUGGUUGCCUAUUUGAGCCGUUUAUGUGCCAGUGAGGAGAUGUUAGCCACGAUUGUGUCCCGCUAAUGGCACAAAGCAUAACCCAUUGCCGCAAUGACAGGCGUAAGUGGGGCAUCCAAAGUGAUUCGAUUAGGCGCAGCUAUCAAUUGAAUGUCUCCGGCAAUUUGCAUCCGAUGGGGCGCGGUAAAAACGUUAUCAAAUUAUCGAGUCGAUAGUUAUGUUCGAAUGGAGAGUCAAAGUGAUGAAAACUGGAGUGACACUUCACGUUGCGUUAAGCACUUGCAAUUACGGCAAGUGCUUAUGGGGCAAGGGGGAGCAGAGGGAAAAUGAGCACAGCAUUUUCGUGUCCUUUGUGAAAGGAGUGUGUGUGUGUGCCAUGCACACACAAACACACAUCCUUGUAUUUGAGUUUCGUCUUUCGGGUGUACUCGAAAGCAUUUGGAAACUUUUAAUGACAUUCUCGCUUAUUAUUAUUUCCUAGGGCUUCGCAGUCAAGUGCCUGGCUGUCUUAAUCAAUGGCAGACAAUUGUACCCGCAGUGGCUGUAAUUAACAGAUGACAAAGGCAGCUCGUCCCCAGCAGGAUUAUCCUUGAAACUACCACACCCACAGUUAGUCAACAUACAUACGUACAAUAUGUUGACCAGAAGGGAAAACUCGAUGACACUUGCGAAUAUUAUUUAUUCAGGCAAAUUGCUGCUUACGAGCGUUUCAUUCGCCAGCAUUUUACAUUCGAUUUCCAUUAUGCCAUUUGUUGCUCGAAAGGCUUUGUCAGCCUGAUUUGGUUUCCGAUUUCCGGUCGAGAACGUGGACCCAAAACUGUUAAUACACACACACACACACACACACAUACACACCCACAACAAAGCCUCCUUUGUUGGCCACUUUGGGCCUACAACGGCAAGGACGUCCCCUCAAGUGCCGCCAAUUAUUUACAACAAUCCGAGAAUGGCUCUCCGAAAGGAUCAAAGGAGGAGGCGACGCCCCAUACGCCCAGGACACUGAAGAUAUGCCAUCGAUGUACACUCGGAGGAAAAACAAUUAGCAAAACCCAGUCCUCUCAGUGGUAAGGAAAACAAAAUAAUCGUUCACUUGAAUAGGAGCGAAUCAACAACUCUAAAUUAAACCAAAUAUUUUCUAUGAAGAACGUAACAUUUGGAGUGUGAUUCAUAGUUACGUCAUGUGCUACAAAACAAUUUCAAAAUCUUUUACAUAUAGAGAACGUAUUUUGUUUAGGGAAAACAUAUCCAAAUGUGUUGGAAGAUUAGAGAAAUUGCCCCUUUGAGCAGUUUGUUAGCUUGGGAAACUUGAAUGCCACUUUUAUGCACAGUGUAUUGUGCGUUGCUGCCUUGGCUCCUGUGAAAUAGUUUGAUAUUCUGGGGAUUUUCUCCGUAUUUCCCCGGAUUUUCAGAAUCGUUUGCCGAGCAUCUCAGCCGUACGGCUUGUUGGCGACGUUUCAUUAAGCGAGCGGAAAAUGACGCAUGCUCCGGCUCAUUCGGGCACGCUCCGCUUCACAGGACAUUCGUGGUUAUCCUUUAUUGUCUGAGUGGCAGCGUGGCAAUCUGGCGAUUCGAUGGCGAUGUGGCAAUGGGCAACUGGCAACGGGCAAUGUGUCCUCGGAGAUGCGCCACUCAAACCAGUUUCCGUUUCGAGGCAAACAUUUUUAUCCGAACCAGUCUGCUGGCGCCCAGCGCAGAACAAAGCGACGGAAAGCGCUUGAAGUCCAUUUGCUAAAUAAAUUUGACAAACAUGGAGCGCCUCUCGGCACAUACAGCAAUACACUUGAGUGAAAAUAGCCCAUAUUCCAGCGCUAUUCUAAUCGAAAAUGAUUUCAAAACAAGAGUCAAAUUUUACGAAAAGAUCUUUUGUUCAUAAUUUUACAAUUUGAAGCAUUUUGCUUGUCAAUAGCCAAAACUUGCCACGAUUUGAAGUGACAAAUAAUGGCACAUUUUUUGCAAGCGACCUGAUCCGAUGCAUCCCCCUGAAAAGUGAAAAGUGGCUGCCUUGUAUCUCCACUGACCCCAAUUGGAAACAAAGUGGGUGUCGCAGCUCCUCGGGCGAUGGAACUCGGAGCUUUAACAUUCAAUCUGCUGAAAACACGAGGCCAGCAAAAACAAAAAUGAAAAUAAAUAAGAAGGGACAAGCUUGGCGAGCAGACAUUUUAGACUUUGCAUCCGCUUUGGCACUAGAGCGGGAAUAUUAAAUUCUGGAUGCUAUUACUGGCUUGUUGAUCCACAUCAUGCUAAUUAGCCUUAACUUUUUGAUGUCGCAGUUGCCGGGGUUAAAGAUAAUGCCAACUCCAACCCCUUGGACAUUAUCGGGUUUCUGGUUUUUGAGAACGCUAAUUGAGGGGUGAACGUAAUUUAUACGCCAUUUCGAAAAUGAAAUAUCGAACGACGUCAUCGAGGCAUUGGAAACGGACAAAGGAGGACAAAGCCUUAUAUGUCUGCCAUGACAGCCUUAAUUCCCUCUUUAACUUUCGCUUUUUAACUUGCCAAGUUUUUCACGGACUUUCUAUGAAAAAACGUACUUUGUUUUAAGCUUUAGAAGUUUGUUUGGUAAUAAUUAAUUAUUUUUAAUGAUUCGCUCCAGCCAGAGUGUCUUGUACCUCUACUAAAGGUUGGAAUAAGUUAGACGAGAAAUUUUUUAUUAUAAUCGAAGGGAAGUAAACAGUUCCAAUCACUCAAUGAGGAAAAUAAAUUGGUUUUCGAAUGAGUUCACCAAAAACUAUGAAUAAAAUAACAUUCCUCUCUGAUCUAGAUAUGGGUUUACCAUUCUCAAUUAAAAUUUGUAUCUGGAUGAAUUCCCAUGGAGCUAUAGUACUGUAUCUCAAUUUAUAAAAUUUAAUUAAUCUUGCGGAUUUAUCCAGUCAUGGACAGAAGCCGCCCGACCGACAGGUCCUUGCGAAAAUCCACAAUUCGACGCCAGAUAUGCAGCUCCGGCAGACGACACCACACAAUCAGCAACCGUUGUCCAGUAUUCGACUGGCCGCACCCCUCUCACCUGGCGGGAGUCCUCGAAAGGACGAGUGAGCCUGCAUCGCCAGCCGCCGCGCCCAGGACACAAAUCAAAUUAAGGACGGACAGAACGGACCGCACCAAAAAAACAACGCAUACUGGGAAAAACUAGAGCCACUGGUCCUUUCAAUAUACAAGUUUAAUUGGUACAAGUAAUACAUAACUUAAUGUUAUUAAAAGAAGAAAGAGAACGAAUUGUUACAGCAAAAGUGCAAUACAUUUGUUGUCCUACGAGUAUGGAUAAUCUUAUAUCGAACGCUUAAGGCAAUUGAUUAAUAACACUUUGAAAAUGUAAUUCUAUAACGUUGAAACAAACACUACAUUUAUUUAAUAUAACGAAUUGCCUAAUUUAUUUUGUGCUCAACUUUAAUCCACUGACAUAGUAUGGUAUCAAUACCAUAUUGAUUUGUCUCAGUGCAUCAAACCAAACCGCACUAAACCGGACCGGCAGUAAUUACGGCAGAGUAGCGGGCGGUGGGUGGUUGGUGAGUGGGUGAGUGGGUGGCGGGUGAGUGGGUGAGUGGGUGGCGGGUGAUGACCACCCAGCAGUAGUGCAUAAAUCACUUCGCAUUCAGCGAACACGAAAUCUAUGCCCCUGACGCGCCCAUCGAGGGCCGGCUGGUGAUUUAUAUUGAUUAAAACUAGAUUUCAAUUCCAGCCGAAGCCAUUAUAAAUGGAAGAUAAUCGUUGAGUUUUUCCCCAAAAGCGAAAAACCAAAAAGAAAAACAAACAAAAACGUGCGAAUGGACUGAAUGACUUUCCUUGAGCAGUCUUUCAUAACUAAAUGAGUUUGCACUUUUCCUACGAACCAAUACCUGAUUGACUUAAAAUGAAAGUCCAGGGAUUCAUUAAUUUUCUUGUUCAUUUGCAUAAUUUUCUCAACUAACUCGAUGAUUUUUUGAGCUUUGUUUGUACCUUUUGCUAGAUUUAACAAUUGGUAACAUGACCUUUAAGGGCAAAACCAUUUUUACCCACGGAGGUUUUUGAAAGCUCGAAUUUCUUUAUAUGGCGGGAAUAAGUGUUUUGUCAUUUCUCCUUAAAGCCAAUUUUACACAUUCAUUCAGUACCAAUUCUAAAUCAAAAGUUUGCAGGAGAAGGGAAAUUACUAUUAUUUCUCAAAAGUAAUAAAGUUUUAUUGAACAAAGUUUUGGCUAAAAUGCGGUCACAUUCCCGUUUCUGUUUAUUCGGCGGGAUAAAAGUGAGCAAUCAGAAAACCACCGGAAAAUCCAUCCUGCUGCUUGUUUGUAAUUCGACCAACCACGAGUUUUUCACUUGGCUCUGGCUCUGUCCCAUGUUUUCCCAUCGCAUCCGGGAAAAGCGUUCGUUCGGUUUUCACCCGUGUUGUUGGCUUGAAGUCCGGGUUUCCCUUCCACUUCUCUUUAUAUCCGACUGGGACAACGGCUCUGAAUCCGGAUCCGGAUCCGGCUGUGAGUUGUGGGCUUCGUGCGGUUCGUUUUGUGGAUUUGUUUUCGGUUUAAUUAAUUUUAAAAUGGACUUCUACCUUGGCGCUAAUUGCACUGACUUUGAUUUAUGUGUUCAGAUAAUGAUCAAAUUGGUUUUCUGGGUAGCCACUUUCCCAACAGCCCAUCUGAACAUCUGCCCCCCUGCCCACCUGCCCACCACUUCACCACCCACCUAUCGUUGUCUGUUUGGUGUCCCUGCGAAAGAUGUGGCACCCAGAGCCAGGAGCAUUCCAAGGAGAUUAAUUCAAGAAAUAGCUCUGAAAUGGCUAGCCCUAAACGGCAGAAGGGGCCCUUGUUGAAGGCGAACUUAGGCAUUUUAUUCCCUUUCUUAAAUCCAUAGUAAUAAUGUAGUGAAGGUCGCAAGGCAAUAGACGUAUUAUCAGGAUUUUCUAUUCAUUAAGCUUUUCAAUGUUCACUAUGAUCAAUCACUGCAGCUAGUUUCGAGUGGACUCGAAAAACAUAACUUUGUCUUAGUUUUCUAUUCGAUUUUAUUCUUCUUCAAUUGGUUGAAGAAAUACAUUUCACCCCACAGCAAUAUGUCGAAAUAUGUUUUUUCGUUCUUUAAGCUCGAAUGGGUUUAUUGCCAAAAUAUAUUUUAUGCUGCAGUGGCGCAGCAUUUCAUGUUUGCCGCAUUUUAGUCAAUUUAUUGCCAUUGAGUUUUCUUUAUCGAGUUUUUCAGUUUCCCAAUUGAGGCUCAUAAACAUUGUGGAAUGUUAAAAUUGAAGGUCUUCUUAGCCUCGCACGCAAAACGUACGUGGAAACUGAAAAUAGGUACGAUAACUAAUAAGCCUGGAUAAAGCCUGGAACGUUAAAGUGCGCUCUACUUUCAAUUAAUAACAUUUAUUUAGCCUAAUUAAACAUGAAAUUCCUUUUGAAUGCAUAUUUUUACCAAGUCAUUGGUUUAGUCUCUUUAGUUCUCUUUUGCAGAAAUGCGGUGCAUUCAUUGAAGUUUUGCAAGACCCUGAACUUUUUGAUAUUUAUUUUGCUGGCCAAAAUGAAAGCAAAAGGCAAUAAUUUUUACUCGAAAGAGGCCGAAAUGAAAAAGCGAAGUUCAAAAGCGUUUGCAGUUUCCGGUGAAAAGUUAGCAUCGAGUUUUCUACGUUAUCUUAAGAGCAAUUUUCGGUCUCGUAAAUAACCAGAUAAUUUGUCAAGGUCUUGAACUUACAUUUGAAAAAGGUGUGUCACUUUAAAGAAGAAUGUCGUAAUUACCUGAAAAGAAAGAAAGUUUACCAUGAUUAAAAGUUGAUUUUGCAUACAUAAAUUAAAGUAACCAGACAUUGCAUAAGUCGAAUAUAAUUAAAAAUACCUGUUCUCUUACAAAUAAUCUUUAAAACCAGCUUCAAAAUUGAAUGUGAAUAAUUCACAUUCCUCUAUUGCUUAGAGACUGUGGAAAUUCCAACAAAAAGAUGCACCAUUUUAUAAAUUACCAUUAUCCCAAGCCCGGCCUUAAAAAGCCAUAGAUUUAAGGUGUCACAUGUGUGUCAAAAUAGCUAGGAAUUCCGCCCAUUCCUGCUCACACAAAUUCCUGUUAUGUUUUGUUUAUGAAAAAUUCCCGACAACGACCCAAAAGUAUGCGGCAAUAAUUUUCACAUUAAAAUUGAUUUAUGACGCACCACGGCACACACAUGCCAGACAAUACACACCAAACACCAAACACACGCACAACACACCGAAUAUUCAGCAUUCGACAAAUCUAAGAGCUAUUUUUGCUGGCUCCCACAUCCGGCCAACUGGCAGCGGAUGACCAAACAAACCGAGGAAUGGAAUUGGCUUGCAGCCCCAGCGAGAGCCAAGCCGCCAUAAAUCAUUUCCCGUGGCCACUUCUUCUUUGUCGGAGGAUUCCUUGGCAAUAGCAGGAGCAGGAGCUCAGUUUCUUCCCAUUCCCACCUGACUUUGCACCUUUUUUGGAGCCCGGGCGUCACGAGUACCUAGCACGGACGUCAUCGGAGACCUGUCCCAGUUGCUACACUCAAAAAUAAAAAAUACAAUCUUUUUCGCAAAAGGAUCUUUUUGGACAAUCGAGAAAUAUAACUUAAAAAAGAUAUCACAAAACUAAAUAAAUAAAUAAAGAUAAUUUUUCACAUGUGUGAUAUAUGUACAUCCCAUUUAAAUGUAACUCAUAAAUGACAAUACGAAAAUAUAUUUAUAUUAAUACCUUUUUUUUAUAUGUUAAGAAACAUAUUCGACUAUUUAACUAAUUACGUUCAUUAAGUAUGAGCAGCAGUACCAAGAAACCUACUAAAGACACUUGCAGGUCUUUUCAAAUUCUAAGAAUAAUUAUUUGGGGAUAUUCCAUUAUGGUUGCACCUCACACAAUUAUUGUAAAAUCUUUCAAACACCAUCCUGAUUCAACUAAAGUAGUACCCAAUUUUUCCUAGUGCACGGCUGUCCAGCACGACUCUCGCUCAUAAACGAAAUUUAUUAGCAUUUAAAUGUUUCAGCGGCGGACGGGGAAUAGCACAUAUGGGCUGGCAAGGUAAUGAAUAUUGCAGAAGGAGACGAGGAGACUAGGAGCUGGAGGAGCAGCAGCAUCGAUGCCGUGUGCCGAAAAGUAUGUUGCAUAAGCCAAAAUUAGUUUAUGCAUAUUUGAAGGCUCCGAAGAGGCCCAAAAAGCAAACAGCGCCCACUUGCUUUUGUGCUUCCAAUAAGGCGAACAUGCUCCACCAUGAUUACAUUUAUCUAGUACUUUCUGCGCCCAAAAGCAUGUUAAGCAUUACAAAUUUACAAAUCUCUGUCGCAGAGAAAUAAACGCCGCGAGCUAUUUCUUGUGGGGACAAACAUUAAUCCAGCUUGGUGGGUGGAGGAGUGGAGGGAAUAGGUAUCAUGGGAGAUAGAAUUUAAUACUUUACAUGGCUCGGAAACCUUUAGAUUUUAAAUGCGAAUAAGUAGAAAAUCCUUGAAAACUCUAUUUAAGAACCUAUUCCAUUACGGGAACGGGAAGAGCGAUGUCUUAAAGGGAAGUAUUUUAUAAAAAUAGUGUCAUAACUUUUUGUGCAGUAACUUAAAGCCUUUAAAAUCCUUUACUUCUACUUUCAUUUCAAAGGAUCAAUCUCAUACAUAUGUUCGAUAUAAUUUCAUUACCGAAUGCUUUUAAAUUGCACAUUUACUAAAUGAUGAUCCUGUUUAUAUGUAAACGAGUCAACGACGAGCUAUAACAUUCAUUAACACUGAAUGACAUUGAAUUAAAUGAAUUCAUUGAAUUUUUAUGGCCACAUCUCAUCCUCCGCUGCUCACUUGACCAUUAAAAUAGAGUGCAAGUUAUUCUGUGGAAAGAUAACGCAUUUCCGUAUCAAAAUGAAAACAAACACAAACGAAUGCCCUAUUUUCAUUGAAGUACUCGCUGCUUGACUAAAAUGUAGGAACUCGUCCUUUUUUAUCUAUUCAAUGACCUUUUAAAGACAUCAAAGCCAACGUCAGAAUCAAGGACAGUAGUCGAAAAGCUUCAAACAAGGAUAAGUGACAUAUCUAACAUUGAUGUCCUACAGCGCGAGUCAGAACUGUAAGGGGGUUUAAAAAAUAGAUUGUAUAGGAUAUUUAACUAUAAUUUUACACUAUAAUUGAAUACAUUCUAUAUCUAGUUAUCAAUAAAUAUCAAGAAAGACUAUUAAAAUUGGUGGUAAAAUGAUUUGUACUCUUUAUAAUGUGCUGAAUUUUGGGAAAACGCAUUCAGUCUUUUAUGCAAAUUGUGUAGACACCAGAGACACUAAGUUGCGAAACGGACUGUAUGCCAAAUCGGUCCGGUAACGAAUCCGAUGCUUGCAAACAAACAAUCAUGUGCACAAGCUCUUGUUUACCGUGGAUGCAUCCUGCAAGGCGAGUAUACAUAUUUCAAUUGAUUUGAUAUUGAACGACGGAGGCUUUACUUUAUUCUGUCAUGUAACUCUUGAAUUAUUGUUUACUUUGUUUUUGUUUUCGCCCCGAAAUUGCAGCACAAACACAGAACGGAUCGAAAGCGAUUGAGCCGCGGUGACAGCGCGGCAAAAAUCGCGAACGCGAGCAAAACUAAUGUCAAAGGUCGGCGCUCCGCGGUCCGAUUUUGGGUCAUCCGCACUGUGGGACGGCUGCCGACGAACUGAGGCGACGGCACAGCCAUCCGCUCGUUUAAAGGACCCCGAAGGCAGCAGAGAACCACUGCCAAAGCACUCGCCUGAUAAGGACAACGACACGAAGCUGGAGCUCGGCAGUCGGCCAGGAUAAACAAUAUGCCUAGUUCCACCAAAAGGUCUAUGACUGUAUUGCCACAGUUGUGUUUCGUGAAGUGGGGCUAGAAACUUAAAAUGAAAUCAAAUGAAUCAAAUAGAAGAUGAAGAAAGAAUUCGGAUUUCGGCA